rnacentral:misc_RNA from 1 species
UCCGGUUUGUCACCGGCAGUCUCCCUAGAGUUCCCGACUUUACUCGCUGGCAACUAGGGACAAGGGUUGCGCUCGUUACGGGACUUAACCCAACAUCUCACGACACGAGCUGACGACAGCCAUGCAGCACCUGUCUUGCGGUUCCCGAAGGCACUCUCCCAUCUCUGAGAGAUUCCGCAGAUGUCAAGAGCAGGUAAGGUUUUUCGCGUUGCAUCGAAUUAAACCACAUGCUCCACCGCUUGUGCGGGCCCCCGUCAAUUCAUUUGAGUUUUAACCUUGCGGCCGUACUCCCCAGGCGGAGAACUUAACGCGUUAGCUGUGACACUAGGAAGUACAAGACCUCCCAACAUCUAGUUCUCAUCGUUUACGGCGUGGACUAC